CUGGCACUUCGCUCCCCUUGCGGCUGUUGGAUUGUCUGGUGAGGGAGUGUUACCUUGUUCUCAGUGCGGGUGAGAUGGAACAUCUAGCCUUCACCUUGCAAUCCUUUUGGACUCGCCCAGUGCAAGUAUGAAGAACAAUGUUGUCAAUGUAUCAUUUGCAUGUUUAUAAGACAAGUCUCCUUUGCUUGUGCAUCAGCCCCAUCGCUUGAUGACCAUGUAGCUCUGGCAGUUGCGUUUCAGUCUGGGGAACGCUUUGUUUCUUCGCCCUGGUCCUUACAGAAAUAGUGGCUUUCAAAAUGACAGUGGAAUUCUUGUGAUUGUCCCUUCUAAUAACAUCAUGUCCACUUCACUGGGAUGUUUGCCAAAGAACACAUUCAGUGCAAUGCGCUCAGACUACUUCACGCUGUGGCUCGAUGCCCAACCUUCCCUCGGAUAAAUGAGUGCACAUUGCCCUGUGUCUCACCCAUGGAAACAGUUGCUCUGUUAACACACCAGGAUGCAGACAAAGGAUCUGAGACAUGGUGGUGGGCAUUUUGUCAGUGGCUUGCUGCCCUCAGAAGACAGCAGCAGUCAGUCUUGGUGAGGAGAUCACGCAUACUGGAUAUUACCAUGGCUGAGUGGAGACAGGUGAGUAGUUGCAAUUGCUGUGGAUUCCCCCUAUGCUGACUGGAAAUUCUGGCACAGGAUCACAAGCACCGUGUGGUGGGACUACAUCAUCAAGCAGACCUGGGAUGACCAGCAGUGGCUCCAGAACUCUUGCAUGAGGAAGGCCACCUUCAUGGAGCGGUGUGAGAAGCUUGCCCUCACCCUUCAGUGUUAGGACACACAGAUGAGGGAGGCCAGACCAGUCCAGAAGCAGGUUGCUAUUGCCAUCUGUACUCUGGCUACCCCGGACUGCUAUUGGUCAGUGACAAACCACUUUGGUGUUGGCAAGUCAGCUGUUGGUGCAGUGGUGGUGGAGGUUUGUGAAGUGAUUAUUGAUUAUUGACAUUUGUUCCUGAAAUAAUAGUUGGCUUUGAGAGAAUGGGGUUCCCCAGCUGCCUUGUGACCACUUAAUUCCCUCCAAAUAAUAUGCUUAUUAAUGGGGUUUCGAUGCCCACUGUUAUUUUAGAGAACCCAACCUAUCCUCUACUGUCCUAUCUUAUGAAACCCUACCCUGAUGUCAGAGCACCUGUCAGAAGAAAGUUUAAUUACUUAAUUUAAUCCUGAGCAGUUUCAGGAAGGUGGUAAAAUGUUUAUUUGGCUGACUGGUGGCAAGAUGGCACUGCCUACAAACCUGUUCAGAUGCUAAUGUGCCCACUGUCAUUCUUAUUAUUGAGGCAUGCUGCACACUACACAGCAAUUGUGAGGAUAAAUAGGAGAGCUUUCACCAGGAAUGGGCUCAAGACAUGGCUGGCUUGAAGGCCUGAUACAGGCAGGGCCGGCUCCAGCAUUUCUGCCACCCCAAGCCAAAAAAAAAAAAAAAGCUGCGAUCACGAUCGGCGGAGGCAAUUGGAAAAAAAAAGCCACGAUUGGCGGCGGCAGUUCAGCGGCAGGUCCUUCGCUCCUAGAGGUCCUUCGCUCUGCCUCUCCCGAAUUGCCGCAGGUGCCGCCCCUCUCCUUUGGCCGCCCCAAGCACCUGCUUGUUAAGCUGGUGCCUGGAGCCAGCCCUGGAUACAGGUAACCAGAAACCUGUCAUUACUUGGGAUGGAUCCAGGAGAGCAAAGGAAGUAAGGGAUGUCCUGUGUGCCCACAUCCUUGUGUUGCAGGGAGAGAUGCAUGGGAAAUCUGGCACAAUGUGGUGUUUUAGUACACACACUAAUUUAUCAAUUUGUUAUUGCUUUUAUGUGAUUCUGAAUGACCUAUUAAAAUCUUUGGAUAAAUCUUUCUGCCUUUUCCUUCCCUCCAAAGCACUUGCAUAUCGAUGUAGUGUAGAACCAAGCACUUUAUUAUAAAAAUUAUAUAGUAUUAAAGUAAUAAAUAAAAUACAGCAGGAACCA
ensembl:lncRNA